GCCAGGUCUCCUUUAGUUUUGAAUGUUUUGCCACAUUCUGAGCAGCUGAAGGGUCUCUCCUCUGAGUGAACCCUCAUGUGGCUUGCCAGGUCUCCUUUAGUUUUGAAUGUUUUGCCACAUUCUAAGCAGCUGAAGGGUUUCUCAUCUGAGUGAACUGUCAUGUGUCUUGCCAGGUCGUAUUUAGUUUUGAAUUUUUUGCCACACUCUAAGCAGCUGAAGGGUCUCUCCUCUGAGUGAUAGAUCAUGUGUCUUGCCAGGUCGUAUUUAGUUUGUAAUGUUUUGCCACAGUCUGAGCAGCUGAAGGUUCUCUCCUCUGAGUGAACUCUCAUGUGGAUUGCUAGUUCUUGUCGUGUUUUGAAUAUUCGACAACACUUUGAGCAAACACGUGAUUUCUCAAGCCUCUUUAGCAUCUUCUUUCUCACUUUUUUCACAGACAUUAGACUUGACUUUUGUGGUCUUGUAUCCUCCCAAUUCUCAUCACUGCCCUCGGUCUCAGGUUCAGGGGAGUCUUGAGUCUUUCGUUGUAUAUUUAUCCCUGAGUUGUUACUGGCUGGAUCUUGUCCUCCAUAAUUCUGUUCCUUGCAAAUGUUCGGGGGCUCAGUGUAUCCCUGGUCCAGACUGGGACUCCUCCCCUGCUGCUCAGAGAGAAACUCUUCUUUUUUCACCAACACCUUCUGGAUAUCUGC
rnacentral:lncRNA from 1 species